CACGUUGAAGUUGUUUGAGUUUCCAUAGUGUAAACCUCUCCUCGCCCUCCCAUAUCUUGGACAACAUGUUCACGUUCAGAGCACCUGUAGUGUGGGUUUUCUGUAGAACCCAGGAAGGGGCUGAGGUUCCAUCUGGGUCAGGGACACAGAGGUGAGACCAUUUCCUGAGUGAACUAGUUCAGUGGAGUCAGAAGAAGCCAAAAGAAAGUAAACAGGAGGAGGAAGAGGAGAAAUGUGACUAACUAGUGCCGGGGGCUCACUGAGUCACCUUUGCCAGCGGGCAGGGUCGCCAGGCAGAAAGAGGUCUGGAGGCGGGUAUAGCUUCCCUCGCCAGUGUGUUGAAUGCAGUCUGAGAGAAACGCCGCAGAGCAUGAACUUCUGGAGGACACCUGGACAUUCUCUUUGUUCUCAGAACUCCCAUGUGGCAAGCAGGCCUGGGACCCCUCCUGGCCUCUGCCAGGGCUCCUUGCCAGGCUCAGAGGCAGAUGCACUUUCUCUUGAGAUUCAUCUCUCUGUGGCUCCAUCUCAUCCGGCACUUAUGGAUAUGCACUGGAUCACCUUUCCUUGCCAGUGGCUGACCCCAUAUUCAUGGUCGGGGAGAAGGCUGCCCUCUUCAUUGUCUAGCCGUGACCUUGCAGAACAGUUUCAUGCAUCAGAGUUCUGCUUUGAGAUAUACGCUCUCCAUAUUUCAAGAGACAUGACUGCUGGCAGCUUCCAGAGUCACAUCCUCACUGAUUCACAACGAGACAAAAAGGAGGGCUUCUCCUCCAGCCAGCGCUAGUUUGAAAAAUCCCAAUGAAGGGUUGACUAGCCUUUACCUGUGUGCUUUCCCCUUGGAUGAGAGGGGAGCCUCCGGCUCAGGCCAGGCCUGCUUCGUAGCCGCCUUCAGGAUGAACGGAUGGGACUGACGUCGCCAGAGAGAACAUGCACAUACUCAUCAGGGUGAGAGAUGGAAAGAGGUGCAUGUUGUCCUUUAAUGCCAGAGGUUUCAGAAACCUUCAAAGAGCCUGUCCCUUUUUGGGGAGGAACCCUUCUUCCUUGGAGAAAUGGAGAGCGGCUUUGAACUUCACAAAAGCCUUGCCUUCAUAAGCUUGGCAAAGGCAAAAUCGGGCUCCACUAGAGGACCCUUCGGCUCAGUAGCGAAGAUAAUCCCAGCUCCUGGGCAGCUCAGCCUGUAAACCAAGGACAGCUGUUGUGAAAAUAACACAGUCAUAGUCAUUUUUAUUAAAAAACAAUUCUCAUGCAAAUCUGUUUACAGAGCAAAGAAUCUCCUUUCUGCGGGAUGGAAAAUGCUGUUACUUCUCAGAAGAUCCACUUGCCUUAAAUUCAUAGCAUUCAUAUUCAUUUAGUGAGCUGACAAAUAUUUAUUGAUAUCAGUUCUGUUUGACAACUACUUUGGAACCAGCCUCUGCAUAGUACUCAUUUAAAACUGAUUUUCCAUGCUACCCUGUAUUACAAAUCGACAUCAAAUAUUUAUUUUAGGAUUGAGUGCUAAUCAGUAUCCCUUGGAGGUGAUCCAUCCAAGAGGCAGUAAGGACUGGUGGAAAGGGAGAGGGGUUUGGAAUCAGACACACGUGUUUCAAACCCUGACUCUUGAUAAUCUGGGAUGAGCUGUGUGAUUUUAG
ensembl:lncRNA